rnacentral:lncRNA from 1 species
UUUAAAUAGCUUUUUCUUGGAAGGAUCUAGGGCAUUGCAAUGCAGCUUGCAUCUAAGAACGUGACAAUCAGAGAGAUUCCCCCAGGCUCCUGUUGUCCCCAAUAUUGUAUUUAUAAUACUCUUCAUGUUUAACAAGCAUUGGACUUCUCUUAUUGGUGCUGAAUUCAAGAAAACGCCCCUUCCUCACGUGAUAGCCCUCACUAAUUUCAUAUUUCUCCCUUCACAAGAGCCACUCAUCCCAGAUUAUGUAAUUCCACCUCCUCAUGCAAAACAAAAUAAAUAAAUAAAUAAAUAACAAAAAAAAAAACUAAUGAAAAUUAUGAGAUUGGUAAUAAAAUAAAAUAUGAUUUAAAAGAAGAGAAAGGGAACAAUGAGAGACCAUAUUAUAUAAUUCCAUCAUUCAAUAAGGGGUCGUAUGCAUAUUUAAUGUCUAAACAAUUCUAACAAUUCUCUAUCAAGUAGGUAAAUAAAUAAAAGAAAGAAAAAUAAAAGAAGAAAAAAACGUAAUAGAAAUUAAAAAAAUGACUAAAUAAAUAGAUGAAUAAAUAAACAAAUAAACAAAUGAAUAGACAAAGUAAAUAUAAUCAUCAAAUGCAUGCAAUAAUGAUCAAGAGAAAAAAAAAAGUUGAGCCUCAAUGAAGUGUUUAAGCGGGCCUAAGGUGAACCUAAGUGUCCUAAAGUGAUCGGGAUAUUGUUUAAAUGACCUAAACAUGCUUAAGAACCAUCCGAAAAAAGGAAUGGAAAGCUUAAGUCUAAAUCAAAACUGCCAAGGGUCACAAUAAAAGGGCGGAUAAUCCCUUAACCAAAGUCUCCGAGGUGACUCAGAAAAAGGUAAG